GAGACAGCAGCCGCCGCGGUAAUACGUAGGGUGCAAGCGUUAUCCGGAAUUAUUGGGCGUAAAGAGCUCGUAGGCGGUUUGUCGCGUCUGUCGUGAAAGUCCGGGGCUCAACUCCGGAUCUGCGUUGGGUACGGGCAGACUAGAGUGAUGUAGGGGAGACUGGAAUUCCUGGUGUAGCGGUGGAAUGCGCAGAUAUCAGGAGGAACACCGAUGGCGAAGGCAGGUCUCUGGGCAUUAACUGACGCUGAGGAGCGAAAGCAUGGGGAGCGAACAGGAUUAGAUACCCCGGUAGUCCCUGUCUCUUAUAC
rnacentral:rRNA from 1 species